rnacentral:rRNA from 1 species
CCUACGGGUGGCAGCAGUGGGGAAUUUUGCGCAAUGCUCGUAAGAGUGAUGCAGCGACGCCGCGUGAGUGAAGAAGUAAUUCGUUAUGUAAAGCUCUAUCAGCAGGGGAGCAAAUGACGGUACCUGAGUAAGAAGCCCCGGCUAACUACGUGCCAGCAGCCGCGGUAAUACGUAGGGGGCAAGCGUUAUCCGGAUUUACUGGGUGUAAAGGGAGCGUAGACGGCAGUGCAAGUCUGGAGUGAAAGGCGGGGGCUCAACCCCCGGACUGCUCUGGAAACUGUACGGCUGGAGUGCAGGAGAGGUAAGUGGAAUUCCUAGUGUAGCGGUGAAAUGCGUAGAUAUUAGGAGGAACACCAGUGGCGAAGGCGGCUUACUGGACUGUAACUGACGUUGAGGCUCGAAAGCGUGGGGAGCAAACAGGAUUAGAUACCCUGGUAGUC